rnacentral:misc_RNA from 1 species
ACAGAAACCAAGUUCACAACAAAUGAAAACCACUUAUUUGCUUUAUUUUGCGCCCAUUUUCAAUGAGCUUAUCGAGAUCUAAGGUAACCCUCGGUCACAACCCAGAAAGCGGCGAGGACAGCGGCUGGACCAAUCGGGGAGGGGAGGGACCCCAGGGGCAAAGCGAGGAAGUACAGACCCAGAUCAACGACUGGUCACAGUCAGACUACAAGGACAGUCAUGACCCGACGACCCCUAACAAUGGGGGCACAGGAGCGGAUCCACAGGUCGAGGACGAGGUGGAGGGGGUGGACGACUUUGAUGACAUGGGUCUGUGUGACCAACUCCUGAGAGGGAUCUACGGCUUUGGAUUUGAGAAGCCAUCUAUGAUUCAACAGAAAGCAAUUCCAAUAGCCCUUAAAGGAUCUGACAUGAUUGCCCAAGCCCAGUCUGGGACUGGGAAAACAGGGACCUUUUCCAUUGCCAUCCUCCAACAGUUAGAUCCUGGACUUAAACGAUGCCAGGCUCUGGUUCUGGCCCCCACCCGCGAGCUAGCAUCGCAAUCACAGCGCGUGAUGACGGCCCUUGGUGACUAUAUGGGUGUCGUCUGCCAGGACAUGGUUGGCGGGAACCAUGUGGCCAAUGACGUAAAUAGACUUCGCGAGGGUGUGCAUGUUGUCAUAGGAACGCCUGGUCGGAUUCUUCAUCUGCUGAGAAAAGGGUAUUUGGGUAAGUUUGAGUUAAUGACUACUAAUUUGAUAUAUGCAUGUCGUCAUAAAGAUUUACAUUUAUAUAAAAUGUAUUCAGUAUCAUUAGUCUUUAGAAUGAUUGUGUGUCCUCUUAGAUUUGAGUGCCGUCAGGCAUUUCGUCCUGGAUGAAGCGGACCAGAUGUUGUCGAGAGGAUUUCUGGACCAGAUCAAGGACACUUUCCAGUACCUACCAAGAGAUGCACAGGUAUACAGUAAAACACGCUUAUAGCGAAGUCCCAGGGACGGGCGAUUUUGCUUCGUUAUAAGCGUAAUUCGUUAUAUCCAUCAAGUUUACAACAAGUAAUAAGGUAACGGGGAAUGAAAAUUACUUCGCUGUAAGCGUCAAUUCAUUAUGUAGUUAUGAACGCUCUCUCAUUUCAAGGAAUAAAGCAAUUGUCCGCACAUCGUACAGGAACCCCAGUGUCUGAUUAAAAUUACCCUUUUCCUUACGGUAAGGAGAGGGGGUGGGUUGAUCAGACUGACAAGAAGCCAAGAGUCAUGGUCCUGCUGUUAUGUUGUAAAUUUUGAAUUUACUGGGUGGGUGUAAAUACAAAAUUUACAACAUGACAACUGGUGUCAUGUUGUAAAUUUUGUAUAUACACCCACCCAGUAAAUUCAAAAUUUACAACAUGACACUGCUUUCAUUUUGCAGAUCAUACUCGUCUCUGCAACCCUACCACCAGAGGUCCUGGACAUUACUCACGAGUUUAUGAGAAAUCCCAGACGUAUUCUGGUAAAGAGAGAGGAGCUGACUCUACAAGGGAUCCAGCAGUUCUAUGUCAAUGUGGAAAGAGAGGCAAGCAUCAUUAUAUCCACGCCAUCAAAGUGGCCAUAAAUUCAUGGAUGCAGAAGGUCUUAUAAGAUACCGUUUGUUUUCAAUUCAUUCUUUUUAUUUGCUAAGUGCUUGGUUUGAAUUUCACAGGACUGGAAGCUGGACACGCUGUGCGAUAUUUAUGACACCAUCACUGUGGAGAAGACCAUCAUCUUCUGCAAUAUGCGCGGCAAAGUGGAAUGGUUGGAGAGGGAGAUGAACAGACGAGAUUUUACAGUGUCGGCCAUGCACGCAGGAUUGUCCCAGAAAGAGCGGGAACUGAUCUUGCGCAGCUUCCGGACCGGCUCCAGUCGUGUCCUUAUCUCAACCGACCUCCUGAGCCGAGGGAUUGACGUCCAACAAGUGUCGCUGGUCAUUAACUUUGAUUUACCUAUGGAAAGGGAGAGCUACAUUCACAGAAUCGGACGUGGCGGACGUUUCGGACGAAAGGGGACAGCUAUCAACUUUGUGACGUCAGACGACUUCCGGAAAAUGGAGGAUCUUCAGAAAUUCUACAACACGGAGAUCCUGGAGAUGCCGAGCAACAUCGCCAGUCUCUUGUAAAGAAUGGACGUUAACACUGGCCAACUGACAAAUACAGAACAUAACAUCAUGUGAUUGAAAAGAAAACUGUUUGGCCAUUAUAAUAAAUCCAUUAAAAAU